UACGUAGGGUGCAGGCGUUAAUCGGAAUUACUGGGCGUAGAGCGCGUGUAGGCUGCUACGUGUGUCGGACGUGAAAUCCCAUGGCUCAACCAUGGAAGUGCGCUCGAAACUGCGUAGCUAGAGUCCUGGAGAGGAAGGUGGAAUGCUUGGUGUAGAGGUGAAAUUCGUAGAUAUCAAGCGGAACACCAGUGGCGAAGGCGACCUUCUGGACAGUGACUGACGCUGAGACGCGAAAGCGUGGGGAGCAAACAGG
rnacentral:rRNA from 1 species